CAGGUAUGGCCCUAAAAAGCAAAAAAAAAAAAAAAAAAAAAAAAAAAAGUGAGGGUUUAGGGUCCCUUCCCCUUGAGCCUAGGUAGAUCUUUAUGACUUCCUUGAUGGACAGAAUGUGGUGAAAGUAACACUGUGACUUCUGAAGCAGGGUCGUCAGUACACCCUGCACUUGGGUUUGCUUUUUCAGGAUGCGUACUCUUGGAACCCAGCUCCAUAUUGCUAGGAAGCCCAAAUGGCCCACGGAGAAUCCAGUUGGGAAAGUCAACAGUAGGGAUUCCAGCUGACAACCCAGUUGAGGUCUUGACUAACUGUCAUCAUCAUCAGCUGCCAGCCCAAUGAGUGAAGGGCUUGCUCCGUGCAGUGGAGUCCCCAAAGCCUCUGAGCCUUUCUAGAUGGCUCGCUCCAGAUGGAGAUGCAGAGAUUAGUUGUCCCUUCAAAUUCCUGACCUAUAAUUAAGUGGUUCCUUCCUACUAAGUUUUGGGGGUGAUUUCUUAUACAAUAAUAACUAGAACAAUAUCUUGGAUGUCAUACUGGGUAAUAUGACCCUUGUUCAUUGAUUUAAGAAUAGGGCUUCUGGAGUCCCCUGGUGGUCUAGUGGUUAAGGAUCCGGCACUGUCACUGCUGUGGCUCUGAUUACUGCUGUGGCUCAGGGUUCGAUCCCUGGCCUGGGAACUUUAAGAAAUUGAAAAGUUGAGGAACUUUCAAGAAGUUUAUACUUUCUAUGAAGAUGAUGAAGGCGUAUAAACUUCUCAAACUAAGUUUGCCCUAAGGUUCUUGUCAUGAGAUUGUACACUUUGAAUAUGUUGAUGCUGUGCCCUUCUUUACAAAAUCUCAAGAGUUCUUACAUUAUUGUCAUAACUCUGAACCCACAGAAGAAGAAUGUCAUUGCAAUUCCUUUUUUUUUUUUUUUUUUGCUUUUUAGGGCUACACCUGCAGCAUAUGGAAGUUCCCAGGCUAGGGAUCAAAUCAAAUCAAAUGCAGUAUUUUCUGUAGUUUUUGUCAUAAAAAAGAAUCAAUGUUCGGGAGGCAGUGAAUUCAUCAGACUAAAGGGUAGCAUCGCGAUGUCUCUCUUAUUCACUCUGGCUUUAGUCUCUGAGCGAAACACGUGGGCUAGGUGGUCUCCAACGGUUGAUUAUCUUUAAGUUUUUUUAUUUUACUCGUAUAAGAGUUCUACAAUUUCGUCAGUGUGCUGUUUUGUUCAGGAGCAUGAGUUUGGAAGCUGAUUCCUUGAUUCUUAGCCUGAUACUAACGAGCUGCAUCAUUUUGGACAAGUCAUCCAACCUCAGUUCCUUCAUCUGUAAAAUGGGGCUCAUGAUCAUGUCGACUCUGUGGGAUUAUUGAGAACCUUAAAUGAGCUAAUGACUACUCGGAGCAGUAAAUGUCUGACACAGUAAGUUUUAUGAGCAAUGGCUGUCAUUAUCCACUGUCACAUGUUGUUGGCUGUGAUAGUUCAUUCACCUCUUAAAUCCCACGUUGAGAAGACGCUGAAUGAAUGCUUCUUUGUCGCGGGUUUUGUAGACGUGACCAAUUGGGUGUCAAUGAGAUUGCAUGACCCGAGUCCCUUCCACUCAAGGUACCACGUGCUAGGUAAAUCUGAGUUCCAGGAUCAACUGACACUGGAAGUGGGUGUCUCGGGAGUACUGAUUCAUUAUAAAUAAUAGUAAUAAUACACGGAGAAUACGUCACUGUCAAUGUUAAUUAUGGCAGCGUAGCUACUUCCAAGGCUAGAAACUCUAUUUAGAAAUUUUAUGUAUCGUUCCCACACUGUAGCUGAAAGAAAUGCUAGUAACGUUAAUAGGAGGUCUGUAAGAGUUUCAGCGACUCAAAAAGGGACACGUAAAUAGAAUCAUUAGGCACAUUCCUCAAGUUGUCAGUCACACUGGUCGUGGAUUGAAUGUCCUGGGUGUGACUCCACUGGCAAAAAUAUCAGGGAGUGUUUUGCAGAACAAAACCUUUCUGGCUGAGAAACCUGAAAGGCUUGCCGUUUAAUUGAUUUCGGUCAUUUGUGGUAGCUGAGCAGGUGAAUGGGAAGAUAACCGAUACCAUCCCGAAAACUUAGGCAGACAGGUGCUUCAUUUCUGCAUAAAAGUAUUCAACACCUGAUGGAAAUGCAAUGCAGGUCGAUGUCUUCUUUCUGCUUUACUUUCUGGACUAUUUCUGGAUUAUGAAGUGCCAAUAAUUGAGAAAGUGGAAGGAACAGCCAAUUAGAUGAGAACGCCCUCAAUUAGAUGUGAGAAGCUGGAAACAGUUGGCUGGGAGAAAGAAGGUUUCUAAUAAUUCCAACCAGAUCUAUUAAUUCUUUUCUACAGGGGAAAAAAAAAAAAAAAACACAAAAGAUUAACAACUUUCAGUUGCAGAAAU